rnacentral:tRNA from 1 species
UAUAUAGUUUAAAUAAAAAACAUUAUAUUUUCAUUAUAAAAUUAAAUUUCUUUUUUUUAUAAAUA